AACGAACGCUGGCGGCAUGCCUAAUACAUGCAAGUCGAACGAUCUCUUCGGAGAUAGUGGCGCACGGGUGCGUAACGCGUGGGAAUCUGCCCUUGGGUUCGGAAUAACGUCGGGAAACUGACGCUAAUACCGGAUGAUGACGAAAGUCCAAAGAUUUAUCGCCCAAGGAUGAGCCCGCGUAGGAUUAGCUAGUUGGUGGGGUAAAGGCCUACCAAGGCGACGAUCCUUAGCUGGUCUGAGAGGAUGAUCAGCCACACUGGGACUGAGACACGGCCCAGAAUCAUAAGUGAGGCAGCAGUGGGGAAUAUUGGACAAUGGAGGCAACCCUGCUCCAGCAAUGCCGCGUGAGUGAUGAAGGCCUUAGGGUUGUAAAGCUCUUUUACCAGAGAUGAUAAUGACAGUAUCUGGGGAAUAAGCCCCGGCUAACUCCGUGCAAGCCGCCGCCGUAA
rnacentral:rRNA from 1 species